rnacentral:rRNA from 1 species
GACGAACGCUGGCGGCGUGCCUAACACAUGCAAGUCGAGCGAGUGAAUCUCCUUCGGGAGUGAAACUAGCGGCGGACGGGUGAGUAACACGUGGGCAACCUGCCUCAUAGAGAGGAAUAGCCUUUCGAAAGGAAGAUUAAUACCGCAUAAGAUUGUAGCUUCGCAUGAAGUAGCAAUUAAAGGAGUAAUCCGCUAUGAGAUGGGCCCGCGGCGCAUUAGCUAGUUGGUGAGGUAACGGCUCACCAAGGCGACGAUGCGUAGCCGACCUGAGAGGGUGAUCGGCCACAUUGGGGCUGGGACACGGCCCAGACUCCUACGGGAGGCAGCAGUGGGGAAUAUUGCACAAUGGGGGAAACCCUGAUGCAGCAACGCCGCGUGAGUGAUGACGGCCUUCGGGUUGUAAAGCUCUGUCUUCAGGGACGAUAAUGACGGUACCUGAGGAGGAAGCCACGGCUAACUACGUGCCAGCAGCCGCGGUAA